rfam:Felis catus isolate Cinnamon breed Abyssinian chromosome D2, whole genome shotgun sequence.
GCGUGGCUGGCUCGGUCAGUAGAGCACGUGACUCUUGAUCUCAGGGCCGUGAGUUCAAGCCCCACGUUGGGCA